rnacentral:rRNA from 1 species
ACACUCCUACGGGAGGCAGCAGUGGGGAAUUUUGGACAAUGGGCGAAAGCCUGAUCCAGCAAUGCCGCGUGGGUGAAGAAGGCCUUCGGGUUGUAAAGCUCUUUUGUCAGGGAAGAAACGGUGAAAGCUAAUAUCUUUUGCUAAUGACGGUACCUGAAGAAUAAGCACCGGCUAACUACGUGCCAGCAGCCGCGGUAAUACGUAGGGUGCAAGCGUUAAUCGGAAUUACUGGGCGUAAAGCGUGCGCAGGCGGUUUUGUAAGUCUGAUGUGAAAUCCCCGGGCUCAACCUGGGAAUUGCAUUGGGGACUGCAAGGCUAGAAUCUGGCAGAGGGGGGUAGAAUUCCACGUGUAGCAGUGAAAUGCGUAGAUAUGUGGAGGAACACCGAUGGCGAAGGCAGCCCCCUGGGUCAAGAUUGACGCUCAUGCACGAAAGCGUGGGGAGCAAACAGGAUUAGAAACCCUUGUAGUCCCAUGA